rnacentral:rRNA from 1 species
UACGUAGGUGGCAAGCGUUGUCCGGAUUUACUGGGUGUAAAGGGCGUGUAGGCGGAGCUGCAAGUCAGAUGUGAAAUCUCCGGGCUUAACCCGGAAACUGCAUUUGAAACUGUAGUCCUUGAGUAUCGGAGAGGCAAGCGGAAUUCCUAGUGUAGCGGUGAAAUGCGUAGAUAUUAGGAGGAACACCAGUGGCGAAGGCGGCUUGCUGGACGACAACUGACGCUGAGGCGCGAAAGCGUGGGGAGCAAACAGG